rnacentral:rRNA from 1 species
UACAGAGGUCUCAAGCGUUGUUCGGAUUUACUGGGCGUAAAGGGCGCGUAGGCGGCGUGGUAAGUCACUUGUGAAAUCUCUGAGCUUAACUCAGAACGGCCAAGUGAUACUGCUGUGCUAGAGUGCAGAAGGGGCAAUCGGAAUUCUUGGUGUAGCGGUGAAAUGCGUAGAUAUCAAGAGGAACACCUGAGGUGAAGACGGGUUGCUGGGCUGACACUGACGCUGAGGCGCGAAAGCCAGGGGAGCAAACGGG